AGAGUUUGAUCAUGGCUCAGAUUGAACGCUGGCGGCAUGCCUUACACAUGCAAGUCGAACGGCAGCACGGGGGCCCCUGGUGGCGAGUGGCGAACGGGUGAGUAAUACAUCGGAACGUGUCCUGAGUGGGGGAUAGCCCGGCGAAAGCCGGAUUAAUACCGCAUACGCUCUACGGAGGAAAGGGGGGGAUCUUAGGACCUCCCGCUACAGGGGCGGCCGAUGGCAGAUUAGCUAGUUGGUGGGGUAAAGGCCUACCAAGGCGACGAUCUGUAGCUGGUCUGAGAGGACGACCAGCCACACUGGGACUGAGACACGGCCCAGACUCCUACGGGAGGCAGCAGUGGGGAAUUUUGGACAAUGGGGGAAACCCUGAUCCAGCAAUGCCGUGUGUGUGAAGAAGGCCUUCGGGUUGUAAAGCACUUUUGUCCGGAAAGAAAUCCUCUUCGCUAAUACCGAGGGGGGAUGACGGUACCGGAAGAAUAAGCACCGGCUAACUACGUGCCAGCAGCCGCGGUAAUACGUAGGGUGCAAGCGUUAAUCGGAAUUACUGGGCGUAAAGCGUGCGCAGGCGGUUCGCUAAGACAGAUGUGAAAUCCCCGGGCUUAACCUGGGAACUGCAUUUGUGACUGGCGGGCUAGAGUAUGGCAGAGGGGGGUAGAAUUCCACGUAGCAGUGAAAUGCGUAGAGAUGUGGAGGAAUACCGAUGGCGAAGGCAGCCCCCUGGGCCAAUACUGACGCUCAUGCACGAAAGCGUGGGGAGCAAACAGGAUUAGAUACCCUAGUAGUCC
rnacentral:rRNA from 1 species